UGCGAGCGUGGUGGAACUGGCAGACACACCAGCUUGAGGGGCUGGCGCCGCAAGGCAUGGAGGUUCAAGUCCUCUCGCUCGCAA
rnacentral:tRNA from 1 species